rnacentral:rRNA from 1 species
AUUGAACGCUGGCGGCAGGCCUAACACAUGCAAGUCGAGCGGAUGAAGGGAGCUUGCUCCUGGACUCAGCGGCGGACGGGUGAGUAAUGCCUAGGAAUCUGCCUGGUAGUGGGGGAUAACGUCCGGAAACGGGCGCUAAUACCGCAUACGUCCUGAGGGAGAAAGUGGGGGAUCUUCAGACCUCACGCUAUCAGAUGAGCCUAGGUCGGAUUAGCUAGUUGGUGGGGUAAAGGCCUACCAAGGCGACGAUCCGUAACUGGUCUGAGAGGAUGAUCAGUCACACUGGAACUGAGACACGGUCCAGACUCCUACGGGAGGCAGCAGUGGGGAAUAUUGGACAAUGGGCGAAAGCCUGAUCCAGCCAUGCCGCGUGUGUGAAGAAGGUCUUCGGAUUGUAAAGCACUUUAAGUUGGGAGGAAGGGCAGUAAGUUAAUACCUUGCUGUUUUGACGUUACCAACAGAAUAAGCACCGGCUAACUUCGUG